CACUCCGGCUUGAGUAGGGAUGGGGGCUCUGAGGGCCGGGUGGAGGGGCGAGUCUAUUGCCUCGGCGCCAGAAGAAGCUUCUAGUUAGGAUAUUUCCCGGAUAAGAGCUGUCUGGCAAUUCCGCAGCCUCGCCCGAACCGAGGGGAGCCAUCUUGUCCCUCUCUGACUCUGAGUUCGUUUGGGUGCAUCGUUCUUUGUCGGUGUGUCUGUAUUAUCAUUGUCUGGAGCUUUUUUUUUUCCUUCUGUCACUGCCUGCCAGGGUCCUACAUUGCAUCCUUGGUGUUUCUGUCGUCAUUGCCUCAGGCCCUGGGUGUGCUCUGGAAGGCUGUGCAGUAUUGGAGGGACAGAAUGACCUUCCGGCCUUGAGUCCCUGGCUGCACCGGGUUCCAGUUGUGGCACGUGGGAUCUCAGUUGUGGCAUGCAUGCGGGAUCUAAUUCCCUGACCAGGGAUUGAACCCAGGCCCCCUGCACCAGGAGCGCAGAGUCUUACCCACUGGACCACCAGGGAAGUCCUCAUCAGUUCUUUCUUGAAGAUCCUUCAUCAUACAUCCUAACUUCCAUUUCUAAUGAUACCUCCUGGAUGCAAUCAGAAAAAUCCACGAAGUUGGAAAUUUUACAGAACAAAUGAUGUGAUUUCAUCAACAAAUAAAUAAAUUGCAGGAAAUAAAAAAGAGGAAGACUUGCAGAUUAAAAGAGGCCUAAGGUAAGCAGCUUCUGGUGGAGUUGAGCUCUUUGGAUUAAACAUUUGGAAAGGUGGAGUCACAAUUGUGCUUGGUGUUGUGUGUUUGAGAGACUCGGGUUGAUAAGAGGGCCUCCAGCUAACUGGUUGGCUGGAAAAUUAAGCAACCUUGAAGGGGUGGCAGUGUGCUGCCUUGGUGGGGUUCUGCUAAUGUGCCUCCAGGGCCUUAUCUAUAUUUUGGUGUGGCAAAGUUGGGGCUCUGGAAAUGUUUGAAAAGUGGGUUAAACUGAACAAGGAUGAUAAACAAAAUGUGAUAUAUACCUACAAGGGAAUAUUAUUCAGGCUUUAAAAGGUAGGAAAUUCUAACACAUGCUAUUAAAAUUACAACAUGGAUAUACCUUGGGGAUAUUAUGCUAAGUGAAAUAAGCCAGACACAAAAGGACAAAUAUUGUAUGAGUCCAUUUGUGUGAGGUACCCAGAGUAGACAAAUUCAUGGAGACAGAAAGUAGAAUGGUGGUUGCCAAGGGCUGGAGGGAGAGGGGAAUGGGGAAAUAAAUGUUCAAUGGGUACAGAGUUUUAGUUUGGGAGGAUAAAAAAGGUCUGGAGAUGGAUGGUGGUGAUGGUUGCAUGUCAAUGCACUUAAUGCCACUAAACUGCACAUUUAAAAAUGGUUAAAGCGGUAAAUUUCAUGUUAUGUAUAUUUUACCACACUAAAAAAAAACAUGGGGGGGCUUCCCUGGUGGCGCAGUGGUUGAGAGUUCGCCUGCCGAUGCAGGGGACAUGGGUUCGUGCCCUGGUCCGGGAAGAUCCCACAUGCUGCGGAGCAGUUGGGCCCGUGAGCCAUGGCCGCUGAGCCUGCGCGUCCGGAGCCUGUGCUCCGCAAUGGGAGAGGCCACAACAGUGAGAGGCCCGCGUAGCGCAAAAUAAAAAGAAUCGGAGCCAUGUGGCAAAAUGUUAACAACAUGUGAAUCUAGGUGAAAGGGUUUAUGAGAGAUCAUUAUACUGUUUUUUUAUUAUACUAUUUUUGUAACUUUUCUGUUGCUCUGAAAUUUUUUUCAAAAUAAAAAAUUUACUUAAUAUUAACAGGAGGACGUUCUGUAGAGGUAAGGUAUAGACCAGUUAGGAUUGCUUCCACUGCAGGGAUUGCAGGUACCUAGUAAGCAUAUAAGCCUGGUGUUAAGAAGCUAAUAUAGUAUCAUAGGCAAUUAUUGACUACCUUAGGCAAUUUAUUUUCACAUUUUAAUCAUGUCAUCACCUUUUUGUUGACUUAACUUCUUCAUAAGGAUGUGGAAUUGACAACUUUUCAUUUUUCUCCUCUGUUUUCUUCAUAUUAUUUUAAUUAUUAUGAAU